GAUGAAGAACGUAGCGAAAUGCGAUAAGUAGUGUGAAUUGCAGAAUUCAGUGAAUCAUCGAAUCUUUGAACGCACAUUGCGCCCCUUGGUAUCCCGAGGGGCAUGCCUGUUCGAGCGUCAUUUCACCACUCAAGCCUGGCUUGGUGUUGGGCGACGUCCCCUUUGGGGACGCGCCUCGAAACGCUCGGCGGCGUGGCACCGGCUUUAAGCGUAGCAGAAUCUUUCGCUUUGGAAGUCGGGGCCCCGUCUGCCGGAAGACCUACUCGCAAGGUUGACCUCGUAUCAGGCAGGGAUACCCGCUGAACUUAAGCAUAUCAAUAAGCGGAGGA
rnacentral:misc_RNA from 1 species